UGGCAGUGUACCCACAUACAUUUAAAAAUAAAAAUCAAAUAACAGUUAAUAGGAAACAGGUUGUAGACCUGUUUAUAAAUAGUUCUUUGGGGUUAUUCCAAUCUUCAUCGUCAGCAAUCCAGUCCACUAGAACAACACCAGCAUGUAUCAGCAGCAGCAGCAGUCCACUAGAACAACACCAGCAUGUAUCAGCAGCAGCAGCAGUCCACUAGAACAACACCAGCAUGUAUCAGCAGCAGCAGCAGUCCACUAGAACAACACCAGCAUGUAUCAGCAGCAGCAGCAGUCCACUAGAACAACACCAGCAUGUAUCAGCAGCAGCAGCAGUCCACUAGAACAACACCAGCAUGUAUCAGCAGCAGCAGUCCAGUCCACCUGGCAAUAACCACUCACAACUCAGCAAUGGCAGUUCAAUUCAGAAGAAACCACAUGGCUCCACCUAUUGGCCUGAGUCUGCAGAGUCAGCAAGUAGCCAAAGGAAUAUCACAAGAAGUUCUUCAGCAAGUUACUCUCUACCAAGUUACAGCAAGUGAACAUUAGCAACGUGAUGCAAGGCAAACCAACACCAGAGCCUCCUCCCACUCUCUGUGGGGUCAUAUUUACAUUAUUUCUAAACAUCACAGGCCCUCUCCUGUGUCUGCUUCAGCAAAACAUCCUUUCACCUGUAUGCACCUGCAAAACAGCAGAUAACAUAACUGAGUUUCCUAAGAACCAGAAAUUUCCACUUCAUAGAUGUCUCAAUGUUGCAGAGGCAUCUCAGGUGACUGUUCAACACCAGCUGUCUCUGUCAUAUCUACAGUUUUGGAAGCUGCUUGCUCUGAACUUCCUGUUUACUCAGUGUGUUCUAGAGGACUGGGCCAUGAAGACAGAAGGGCAGAAAGGACUGGAAGGCCACACUGAGAGCAGAAGAGGUUAGGGACUCAGCCCGUGUGUCUCUGGGUGCUGCUGCUGCCUGUCUGAAAGUUCAGCUUCAAGGAAGGACAAGAGGCCUGGCACCAGAGCAGCAAGGCACGGAAGCAGUGCGGGAGCUGAAGCGCUUCUCCACAGAGAGAGGACAGAGCAGGCAGAAGAGACCAUGCUGUUCAACCUCAUGGUGCAAUAGGGUAAUGUCCUUAAGCAGGGAGUCCUGCUCACUAGUGUCCACUUGAGGAAAACUCCUUCCUGUGUGCGCCCCAGCGCAAUACCAUCCAACACAAUGGACUCUCUAAGGAGCCCUUAAGUGUCCACUUCACACAUGCAGCAGGGUGGGAAGCAGUGACUAAGGAAUGGGGUUGUGUAUGACCAAAGUAUAUUUUCACGUGGGUGUGGAGUUGUCAAAUAAUUAAAGUACUUUCAAAAAAGUAA